UACGGGGGGGCAAGCGUUGUUCGGAAUUACUGGGCGUAAAGGGCUCGUAGCGGCCAACUAAGUCAGACGUGAAAUCCCUCGGCUUAACCGGGGAACUGCGUCUGAUACUGGAUGGCUUGAGUUCGGGAGAGGGAUGCGGAAUUCCAGGUGUAGCGGUGAAAUGCGUAGAUAUCUGGAGGAACACCGGUGGCGAAGGCGGCAUCCUGGACCGACGACUGACGCUGAGGAGCGAAAGCCAGGGGAGCAAAGCGG
rnacentral:rRNA from 1 species